AAGGCUGUCGAUCAGGAAUUUAAAGUGAGACCAGGCAGCCUGUGGUCUUUUCCUUCAGCCACGUCCAGCUGCACAGCCCUGCGUGGAAUAGACAAAGAAUUAAAUUUAAUCAAGAAAUGCCAGGAGUUCCCAUUGUGGCUCAGCGGAAACAAACCCAGCUAGCAUCCAUGAAAACUCGGGUUUGAUCCCUGGCCUCGCUCAGUGGGUUAAAGGAUCCAGCAUUGCCAUGAGCUGCAGUGUAUGUCAAAGAUGCGGCUUGGAUCCUGUGUUGCCAUGGCUGUGGCAUAGGCCGGCAGCUGCAGCUUUGAUUCGACCCCUGGCCUGGGAACUUCCAUGGGCCGCAGCUGUGGCCCUAAAACAAAACAAAACAAAACAAAAAGAAAAAAAAAAAGAAAGAAACGCCCCCACCACUGUUCAAAUACCCCAUCCGCCACGGCCCACUUGCACCCAACAGGAACCAGUCAGAACCAACCAUCAACCAGGAAUCUAUGCGCUUCGAGAUAGGAGGGCCUGUACUUUCCCCAAAGCACUAAAUCUAAAGAAGCUGCCUCUUCUAAGUGGGAGGGACCUGGGGCUUACACCCCGAAAUGAAAGCACAGUUAGAAUAUUUCAGGGGCUCCCUGGGCAGGGAGCAGCAUCUGGAGACAAUUCAGAGUUCAGAGGCACUGUGGGCACAGAAGGGGCGUGGGCACACUCCCCCAGACUCGGACACGGAGUCACCGGGUCCUGAGUCAACCAGGUGCGGAUCCAAGCUGCGUCUCUGUCGAGGCAGCCGAAGCAGUGGUAGACACCAAAGAGAGAAGAAAGGAACUUGCUGCAGAAUAAUCCUGUUGAAACGCUUCAAAAUCAGAUUUUACUUUUUUAAUACAGAUGCAAACCAAAAAUGUAAUUUCGUGGGUAUGUUCUAUGAGAGCAGUUCCUGCAGUAUCUUCCCCUUUGUGCUUCUCAAUAUCGCCCCUCUAGACUCCGUCUCGAGACCAGUCCCCUCGUGGAGAGCCUGCAUUCUCCCUGUGCCCGUGUGAUGACACACAGACAUGAGAACACAGAUUCAGCCAUUGUUCCCCCCCCCCCCGUCUGUUUUCAUAAAGUUAGAAUCAUCUACUUUUCUGCACCUUCUCAGUGUUACCUUUGAGUUGGUAUAGCUCUGUUCUCUUAAAAAGCAGCGUAAAUGGUGGUUUGAAUGUUCUCUGUGGACUCGACUAUUCCUGUAUGGAAGGCCAUUCACUUCCUUCUCAGCCCUCCCCACCCAGCCCCCCUAAAAACAAGGCUACAGUAAGACACCCUCUAUUUAUGUGCUUAGGUACUAGUUUUAUUUCUGUCAUAGUUUCACAGGAGCCAGUUGUCUCCAAGGAUACAUACAACGUCUCUUUCCAAAGAUGCUGGUGGGGCUGUGGAUGGUGUGGCCCCCCUGGGUGCCCCCUAGCCCCUGCGCUUCCACCAGACACAUGGACCCAUCUAAUGGGACCAAGUAGCAUCUCAUUCUUACUUCCUUUUGCAUUUCCCCAGCAGUGAAUCUGACCAGCUUUUCAUUUGUUUGUAGGGAUUUAAUUUGGGAAUGGCUGCUGAGUUACAACAGAAGCCCUUUCAGCAUCUAUUGUUAUGACCAUAGUGUUUCUUCUCCUUUAAUUUUUAAAAAAUAUGUUGCAUUAUAUAGAUAGGUUUCCUAGCAUGCCCCCCUCACCCCCGAGUCCCUGGAACAAGCCUUAUUUGGUCAUAAUGUGUUAAUUUGUUGUUCUUUUGAUACAUUUCCUGGUUCUUUAGCUGGUAUUUUGAGUCUUUGCAUCUUUAUGGGGAGAGCAGGUCUGUAAUUUUCUCUUUUCAUAGGAUCUCCAUCAGAUUUUAGAAUUAAAAUUAUGCUGCCUUCCUAAAAUGGAUUGGAGAACUUUCUACCAUUUUCCAUGGCUUGCAAAACUUAAAUUGUAUUAGAAUUUCCUGUUGUGGUUGUUAAAAAUUAGAUGAAAAUAGGCCACAAACCCACUAGAUUCUAGACUCUUUUUUUCAAUGACUCCCUUUAAUCAUCACCACCCAUGCCCUCUCUGCUAAUUGGAAUAUUUAAGUUUCCCAUUGCUUCAUAGGUCACUUUGGGUAGCAUAUUUGGUUUUUAAAAAUCAUCCAAUUCUAUUAGGUUUUUUGUUGCCAUACACUUGUGUAUAUUCUCUAAAGAUUAUUUUAUUUUAAUACCUUCUGUAACUGGUUAUUUCUCCUUUCUCAUUCCUAAUCUUGCAUAUUUUUACCCCUUUUUUCCCCAUAACUAACUUUUUGAGGAGGUUGCUAUUCUUUUAAAAGAACUAGUUUGGGAUUGGUAUCUCUUUGCUGCUUUGUUUUUAAUAUUCUCUUGAUUGUACCUUUAAUCUUUUGUUCCCCCACCUGCCUUGUUUUGAUUUAUCUUUAUUGUUCUUUUCUUGCUUUCCAAGUUAAGUAUUUAGUUUCGUCCUGUUUUUUUUUCCAUCUUUUUGAAUAAUGAUGACAUUUAGAGUUAUAAAUCUUUUUCUAAAUACAGCGUUGUUUAUCGCAUUGAUUUUGGUAUUAAGAUUUUUGGUUCUUCAAUUGCUGUGUCUUUUUUUUUUUUUUUUUUUUUUUUUUUUUUGCUUUUUAGGGCCACAAUCGAGGCAUGUGGAGGUUCCCAGGUUAGGAGUCGAAUUGGAUCUGUGGCUGCCAGCCACAGCCACAGCAACACAGGAUCUUAGCCGCGUCUGCAACAUACACCACAGCUCACAGCAAUGCCAGAAUCUUAACCCACUGAUUGAGGCCAGGGAUCGAACCUGCAUCAUCAUUGAUGUUAGUCAGAUUCAUUAACUGCUGAGCUAUGUCAGGAACUCUGCUUUCUGUGUCAUUUAAAAUUGACUUUGAUGUCUUCUUUCCUCUAAGAGCUACCUGGGAAUGUGUUAGUAACUUCUAAAUAUUAAAAAGAAAAAAAAGGAGUUCCUGUUGUGGCUCAGUGGUUAGCGAAUCCGACUAGUAACCAUGAGGUUGCGGGUUUGAUCCCUGGCCUUGCUCAGUGGGUUAAGGAUCCAGCGCUGCCGUGAGCUGUGAUGUAGGUGGCAGAUGCGGCUUGGAUCCCACGUUGCUAUGGCUCUGGUGUAGGCCGGAGGCUGCAGCUCCACUUCGACCCCUGGCCUGGGAAUAUCCAUAUGCUGCGGAAGCAGCCUAAGAAAUGGCUAAAAAGACCAAAAAAAUUAUCCUCCUUAAAUUAGCUGUUUUGAAUUUAUUGGAUUAUCCUCAGCAAAUGUGACCUGAAGGUUUUUACAUUUUAAGAAAGUCUGAUGACGUUUUCUUUCUGUCCAAGUACUGACCAAUUUUUGUAAGUGUUCAAUGAGCCUGUGAAACUACAGUGUAUUCUCUUUGAAGCAUGUAGAGAAAGGUAGGGAGGGAGGAUAGAAGUAUGGACGGAUGGACGGAUGGACGGACAGACAGAUGGGUAGACAGACACAUACGUACUUAAAGCCAGAAGUUCAUAGACUAUAUUAAUCAAACCCCAUGUGAUUUUACCUAUUUUUCUGCAAGAGUUCUGACCUACAUCAUCAGAGUGGCUAGAGAAGCAAGUUCUCGGUCCUCCUAGAACAGCGAGUAAAGUCAAGUUGAAGAAAGGAGAAAACACAGCAGCCUGAGCCAAGCUGCCUCCAGGUGCUCCAGCUGGAGCUCGAGAAGUGUUUGACCCGGGCAGAGCGGCCACCCCGCACCCACCCACUUUAUGCUCUGAGACAGGCCAGGACCUGUGCUCCCACAGCUCUUACCCAGGCGGCACGCCCAGAGGAAAUAGUUCCAGGGGGUCGUGAAGCUUCACACCUCAGGCUCAGUCUGCUCAGACCCCAAAGCCUAAAAAAAGCAGGGGCGCGUUUUGCCUUGGAACAAACGUGAGCCCUGAUAAGCCUGGGGAAGGGAGCCUGGGCAGGGGCUGGCCUGAGACUCCUGGGCAGCUGGGCCAAGCCUGCAGAAGCCUCUCGCUGCUCUGUUUGAUGUUUGUCCACAGAGACCCCUGCCCCCAUCCCCAGGUGUUCCCAGACCACGCUGGUGACUGCUGCCAGAGCCACUAAGCUUCUGUCCCUCCAACAACAAGGAGGCCAUGAGCAUCUACGUGGGGCCCAGGCUCACAGGUGAUGAGUAGGGUGACAUGGUCACUGCCCUCCCUGGGCUGGUGGACAUCAUGGUGGGCCGGGAGUCGGGGCAGUCUGAGUCCAGAUGGACCAAGGAGAGCGAGCAAGGCAAAGAGGAGUAGGUGGGUGCCCAUGACAUCCCGGAGGUGAGGAGCUGCCGGCACGGGAAGGACCAUCUCCAGACUGGCUGCAGAACAAAGAGACGAGCUGGAGAGACUGGCCAGGGCCUGGUCCUGUUGGACUUUGCAGGCCGUGUGGGGACAGGCUGUAAGCAGGGGAUUUCACUAGGGUUGGCAUCUCCAAAAAUACAUCUUUGGCUGCAAAAUGGAGAAUAAGCUGAACGAGUGAAGCAGAAGGCGGCUGCAGUCAAUGUCUGCAUGAGAAGCGAUGGCGGCCUGGACCGGGAGGGGUGGGGGGGAGUGGAGAGGGGUCCAAAGAGCUGGGAUCUGUUUUCGAGGAAGGAUGGGUGAGACGGAGGGGUUGAUUUAACGUAGAGGGUGAGGGCGAAAGAAGUCUGCUACCAAGGGCCAUUCCUAGGUUUCCAGCUUAAGUGACCUGGUGACUGGUGAGGUGAUGACCAGGAGGGCAGAACAUUGGAGGAGGAGCUGGGUGUCUAUGGCUGGUGUCCGUUCACUGACAGUUCCUUAUUUGUUGAAGGACAAAUGAAUAAAUGGAUGUCUUAAGGUCUGGGCGUAUUUGGUUUGAGAUGUUGGUGACCUGUUGAGCGGAGAUGGUAAGGGGGCAGUUUAGAGACUGGGGAGUUCCCAUUGUGGUUCAGUGGGUUAAGAACCCAACUAGUAUUCAUGAGGAUGCAGGUUCGAUCCCUGGCCUCGCCCAGUGGGUUAAGAACUCAGCGUCGCUGUAAGCUGUGGAGUAGGUCGCAGAUGCAGCUCGGAUCGGGUGUUGCUGUGGCUAUGGUGUAGCCCAGCAGCUGACAGCUCCAAUUUGACCCCUAGCCUGGGAAACUCCAGAUGCUGCAGGUGGGACCCUAAAAGACAAAACAAAAGAGAGAGAAAGAAAGUGCUUGCUCGUGAGUAGUGUUUGGCGUGAUGGGAGUCAAUUCGACUCUAGUGAGAGCAUCACGUGAGAGAAGAGGGGCCAGACCAGGCCUGGGGAUGCCAACAUUUAAUGGGCAGGAGCGUGAGCCGGUGGAAGAAAUUGGGAAAGAGCGCCUGGACACGUGGUGGAAAAGUAGAAUAUUUCCAGAAAGAGAUGUGGUCAGCCAGUCGGAUGGUGGCGUUGGAUCCAACAGUGUAGGGGGGCGUCGCCUGUAAGAAAAGUUUUGUUGGGACUGUGGAAGCAGAAGCCAGAUGAGAGGGUGGGUGAGGUGUGGGUGGCUGGUCAAGUAGAGACAGUGAGUGUCCUUCCAUGUGACAGAGUGGCCAUGGAAUGGUCACCUCAUGACGGUGACGUGCUAAAAGUAGGGGGUGGUUGCCUAGCUGCAUGCAGACAAUUAAAGACCCAUCAGGAAAUUAAGUCGAAAAGCCAGUCUGCUUUUUAUCACCGUGCAUUUGGCAAUUCUAAGCAUGAUCUGUGAUAAAAGUCUCCAUGAUCUUCAGUGGGUCUGAGUUCUGUUGAGUUUUAAUAGUAUAUCUGAAAGCAUCAAUUGAGCGCUUUUUUUUUUUUUUUUUGGCUUUUUAAGGCUGCACCCACGGCAUAUGGAGGUUCCCAGGCUGGGGAUUGAAUGGGAGCUACAGCUGCCAGCCUUCACAGCCACAGCCACAGCAGAUCCGAGCCACGUCUGUGACCUACACCACAGGUCACAGCAAUGUGGGAUCCUUAACCCACUGAGCAAGGCCAGGGAUUGAACCCGCAACCUCGUGGUUCCUAGUCGGAUUCGUCAACCACGGAGCCAGGACAGGAACUCCCAAUUGAGCACGUUUACACGACUGACUACUUAUCCUUUAAAGCUUGAAUUCUACAUGGAAUUAAUUAAUUAAUGCUGCAAAUCAGGUGUGCAGUGGGCCCCAGCACACACAGACUCAGCCUCACCCCUUCACUUGGAGACGAAGUUCUACUGAUCUAGAGCAGUUCGAGCCCCACUGUAUGGGGCAGAGUUCAGGUCUCUACCCUGCAUAUCCCUGCAUUUAAAUAACACAUUGGAAGCAAAUGAAAAUAGACCGUGAUUGUAAAAAUGAAGCAACAGAACUUGAAUUGCUCCAGCUCUGUCCUUCUGGGUACACGCUUGCAGUUUUUAUUGGUAUUUAAAAUUGUAGGAGAUCCCAUUGUGGUUCAGUGGGUUAAGAACCUGACCUUGUCUCUGUGACGAUGCAGGUUCCAUCCCUGGCCGCCCUCAGUGGGUUAAGGAUCCGGUGUUGCUGCAAGCUGCAGCAUAGGUCGCAGAUGUGGCUUGGAUCUCAUGUUGCUGUGGCUGCGAUGUAGGCCUUCAGCUGCAGCUGCAGCUCGACCCCUGGCCCAGGAACUUCCCUAUGCCAUGGGAGCAGCUGUAAAAAGAAAAAAAGAAUAAUAAAAUAAAAAUUUUAAAAGUGAAGGAGAGUAGAUGAUGAGGUGUAAUAUUUUUGUUUCGAAAGUGUAAAUUUUAGCUCGCGAGUGAAACAUAAAAGCAUGAUAGACAAUUUAUUGUUGCUCAAAUUGUACCUUUUACAGAUGUUUUGAUUGUAUUAAGAUUCACAUGCUAUUUACUAGACAAUUACUUAAACAUUUUUAUAUAGGCUUAUAAUCUAAUCAAAACUAAAACUAUUAGGCAAAUGUAUACAUAUUACAUACAUAUAAAAAAAUUAAGUAGUUGUGCCCCAUUUUGUACUAUAAUAUUUAUUUAAUUUUUACUGGCAUAAUUAUGUGUUUUUAAAGUUCAAUAAAACUUUUUCA
rnacentral:lncRNA from 1 species